rnacentral:rRNA from 1 species
CCUACGGGCGGCAGCAGUGAGGAAUAUUGGUCAAUGGACGCAAGUCUGAACCAGCCAUGCCGCGUGCAGGAAGACGGCUCUAUGAGUUGUAAACUGCUUUUGUACGAGGGUAAACGCAGAUACGUGUAUCUGUCUGAAAGUAUCGUACGAAUAAGGAUCGGCUAACUCCGUGCCAGCAGCCCCGGUAAUACGGAGGAUUCCAGCGUUAUCCGGAUUGAUUGGGUUUAAAGGGGGCGUAGGCGGUCGGAUAAGUUAGAGGUGAAAUCCCGAGGCUCAACUUCGGAAUGGCCUCUGAUACUGUUCGGCUAGAGAGUAGUUGCGGUAGGCGGAAUGUAUGGUGUAGCGGUGAAAUGCUUAGAGAUCAUACAGAACACCGAUUGCGAAGGCAGCUUACCAAGCUACUUCUGACGUUGAGGCACGAAAGCGUGGGGAACAAACAGGAUUAGAUACCCGAGUAGUC